rnacentral:rRNA from 1 species
GCGAAAGCAGGUCAUAGUGAUCCGGUGGUUCUGAAUGGAAGGGCCAUCGCUCAACGGAUAAAAGGUACUCCGGGGAUAACAGGCUGAUACCGCCCAAGAGUUCAUAUCGACGGCGGUGUUUGGCACCUCGAUGUCGGCUCAUCACAUCCUGGGGCUGAAGUAGGUCCCAAGGGUAUGGCUGUUCGCCAUUUAAAGUGGUACGCGAGCUGGGUUUAGAACGUCGUGAGACAGUUCGGUCCCUAUCUGCCGUGGGCGCUGGAGAACUGAGGGGGGCUGCUCCUAGUACGAGAGGACCGGAGUGGACGCAUCACUGGUGUUCGGGUUGUCAUGCCAAUGGCACUGCCCGGUAGCUAAAUGCGGAAGAGAUAAGUGCUGAAAGCAUCUAAGCACGAAACUUGCCCCGAGAUGAGUUCUCCCUGACUCCCUGAGAGUCCUGAAGGAACGUUGAAGACGACGACGUUGAUAGGCCGGGUGUGUAAGCGCAGCGAUGCGUUGAGCUAACCGGUACUAAUGAACCGUGAGGCUUAACCUUACAACGCCGAAGGUGUUU